UAAAUAGUUCUGUUAUCCUGAGCUUUCUGUCUCUACCUUCAAAGGUGUAUGGAGUAUGGAAAUUGGAAUCACUGGAAUUAGCUUUUUUGGCUAUCUACUUAGUUAUUAAAUGUAAAGAAAUUUAUAUGGUUGGCAUGUUUUCCCUUACAUGGAGAUUCCUGGAUCUGAGGAUUUUUAAGACUCAUAUAACCUGAUGACCAACCAGUUCUUCUGAAUCUUACAAGAUUCUUCACUGCCUUUCACCUUGUAUGUCUCCUUAAAUGUGUGCAAAGUAGAUACAAGAGUCCAAGAAUCUGUUAUAAGGAUCUUAUACCUGUAUAAAUAACUAUACACUCUGUGUAAAUCAGGUAAGAAUAAAAUCGUAA
rnacentral:lncRNA from 1 species